ensembl:lncRNA
CUCCCUGCAAGACCUCGGGCCAACGCAUCCCCGGACCCGCUUCUCACCGUCGGCCAGCCCAAGUCUCCCCACAGAUGGGUGAGGCCAGGAAACCCCCAUAUUCCGAAGCGGCGCCGGCCGGAGGCCAGACGACCAGAGGCCCCUCUGUCGAGAAGACGAGUCCCGAGAGACCCACACGCUCAGGGGACGGGCUCGGAACCGGGAGCGGCCCUGGGCUCCGAGGCGACCUGCAGCCUGUGCUCCCCGCUUGGGUCUGUUUCCCCUUGGGCUGGGGAGGGAGCGGACCACGUGCCCGGCGCUCCCCGCAGAGGACUUACCCGGAGUGCCCCACGACCAGACGGCGCGGGAGAGCAGCGGAGACAAAGCCGACAGUGCGGGAAGAUGCCGGUGUCCGCGGAUGGCCCCGGAUACGUGCAGAUGGCGCGGGAUCCACGACGAACCGUGGACAAAGAGCCCUCAGGAGCCAGGAGCUGACUGAGAUACAUGGAAUUUUUCUUACACUUUGGAAUCUAGUGAGCCCCUCUCGCAUUGCAACACUGAAAAUUUCUGUUUCUUCUCUUGCAUCAGUAUUUAAAGAUCACGCAAUGAGAUGCCUCAUCCAGUUUCUAACUUCUUCACGUCCCAGCACAUGCAUCCACUCCCCUAUCCUUACCCCAACAUCAGCUUUUUAGUCUUUCUCUUCCUCCCUUUUCUGAACAUCUUCCCAUUUCCCUCUUCUGUUUGAGUCCUUCAGAACCCCAGUAAGGCACACCUCCACCGUGAAGCCAUCUUAAUUUGGAAAUUGGUUGAAGUAUGAUUCUACUCAUAGCCCCACAACUAGCCUCCAAGCUCUUUAGGAUCCACAGUCUCUCACACUCGAGAUGCAAAAUUAAGGAAGAAAGUAUAGUUUCCCCAGCUUCAGCCCCACACACACUUUGUCAGAAGGCACGACACCAUAAUUGACGUUCCCAGCAAGACUGAAUUCAAUAGGAAGAGUGAAUGCCACAGAAAAUCAGAGAGAAAGAAUAGACAGCUCAAAACUACAGACGUCCUAACCAUUUAAUAGUCGGAUGGAUGGUUGGGGAGAUCAAAGAAUGCUUGAAUAUUUGGCGGGUCAGUUUCAACUCCGAUCCACUAGGGGGCGCGAAGAGACUGCUAGCGCGGGGUCCAUCCGGGGAUUCGCCGCUCUAGGCCCUAGCUCGUCUCUCAACUGCAGUUCCGCCAGCGCCCGACAGAUGGAGGGUGGGUCCUGUCUCCGAGUCGCCGGGAACCGUCCAGCAUCUUCUCACGUCGUCCAGUUUGACCUGCAGCCGACAUUCCUGGCGCCCCGGGAUCCAGCUUCCAGACUCUGUACAGAGUCAUCUGAGUUUGCACAAAAGAUGAUCUGAAAAGCCGUCUCUGUGUCAGAUGCAGAUGAGCUGUUGUCCUAUGUGGAGUAAUGAACUUCUGUCCUGGGAAUAAAAGGACACGUGGUGACCGGGUGGCAUCCAGGUUGCUCAUCCAGGGCUUCUUGAUCGUUGCAGAGGAAGCAGCACGGUGCACAGGGGUCCCUGAGAGGUGUCCCCAUCCUGUCAAGAGACAGCUGGCCCAGACGAGUCCACUGCGUGCAGAGGCGUCAUGGAAGCUGUCAUGUCAGGAGCAUUCUAGACCGUGCUGUCCUUGAGAUGUUGGCUUGAAGAAAGGCAAGGUAACAUCGGAGAGCAAACCCUUGUCGUGACCUCCUGCCCUGUUGACCUCCCCAUCAUGCUGGGGGUGCUGCCUUGGAGGACACCUCGGGGAUGGGAACACUGGCCUCUCAGGAUGGUGACCCGGGUUCCAGCUUCCCUGGAGGAGCCUCCUCAUGGUUGUUCUGGGUCUGAUCACAGCCACUUGCGUAGCAGACUGAAGAGGGGUGUUGCUGCAUGACCACCGCCAGACCUUCUUCUCCUGUUGCCUCAGCACAGUAUGGAAGGGCUUGGCCCCAUGUGACCAGGUCAGGGGCCUGGGUAAGGCCUGAGACCUUGGGACCUUGGGAUUCACAGCUGGAGACCUUCAGCUGGCUCUGCCCCUGCCCCCUAGCAGGUGCCACAGGGCACAGCAGACCCAGAAGACUGGUUUCCUUCCAUCUGGACCAGGUCCUCCAGUGGCCUCCAUGUCCCCCUCUCUGCUCCUGGUGUAACUUUUAGAGCCAGGAGUUCCUGUUGGAGGCGUCUCUGCUGGGCAUCUUGUCCUCUCACCCACUUCAAUAAAUCUUGAAACAGCCCUGCCGCUUGUUUCUUUUGUUUCCUUUAAUCCCUGCCUCUGUGUGCACAGCUGGGUGGAGAGACCAUGGGUCACAGGGGCAGGUCUUCCAGUUUUCACUCACUGAGACUUUCUACUUCACACACUCCUGAGGCCUGACCUGAGGAUGGGAUGUAGAAUUGCAAAAUGCCAUGGGUUUAACCCGUCCCAAGUGCUCUGGGGGCUCAGGUUUCGGAGAGAAGGGAGCUGUUAGAAUUGUUGGCAGAGGAACGUUUGCACCAG